rnacentral:rRNA from 1 species
AUUGAACGCUGGCGGCAUGCCUUACACAUGCAAGUCGAACGGCAGCACGGGGCAACCUGGUGGCGAGUGGCGAACGGGUGAGUAAUGCAUCGGAACGUGCCAUUGAGUGGGGGAUAACGUAGCGAAAGUUGCGCUAAUACCGCAUAUUCUGUGAGCAGGAAAGCAGGGGACCGCAAGGCCUUGCGCUCUUUGAGCGGCCGAUGUCAGAUUAGCUAGUUGGUGAGGUAACGGGCUUACCAAGGCGACGAUCUGUAGCGGGUCUGAGAGGAUGAUCCGCCACACUGGAACUGAGACACGGUCCAGACUCCUACGGGAGGCAGCAGUGGGGAAUUUUUGGACAAUGGGCGCAAGCCUGAUCCAGCCAUGCCGCGUGAGUGAAGAAGGCCUCGG